CAAUUGCGUAUAUUUAAGUUGUUGCAGUUAAAAAGCUCGUAGUUGGAUUUCGGGUGGGACGCAGCGGUCUCGCAUUGCGUUUGUACUGCUGCAGCCCUCCUUCUUGCCGGGGGCGGCCUCUCGGACUUCACUGUCUGGGGGUCAGAAUCGGCGAUGUUACUUUGAGUAAAUUAGAGUGUUCAAAGCAAGCUUACGCUCUGAAUAUAAUAGCAUGGGAUAACACGACAGGACUCUGGCCUAUCGUGUUGGUCUAUAGGACCAGAGUAAUGAUUAAGAGGGACAGUCGGGGGCAUUCGUAUUCCGUUGUCAGAGGUGAAAUUCUUGGAUUUACGGAAGACGAACAUCUGCGAAAGCAUUUGCCAAGGAUGUUUUCAUUGA
rnacentral:rRNA from 1 species